GUACUGCUGAGGAGUCCCAAAAUAGGACGAAACGGCCGUCCAAUGC
rnacentral:hammerhead_ribozyme from 1 species